rnacentral:rRNA from 1 species
GUUAAGCGACUAAGCGUACACGGUGGAUGCCCUGGCAGUCAGAGGCGAUGAAGGACGUGCUAAUCUGCGAUAAGCGUCGGUGAGGUGAUAUGAACCGUUAUAACCGGCGAUUUCCGAAUGGGGAAACCCAGUGUGUUUCGACACACUAUCAUUAACUGAAUCCAUAGGUUAAUGAGGCGAACCGGGGGAACUGAAACAUCUAAGUACCCCGAGGAAAAGAAAUCAACCGAGAUUCCCCCAGUAGCGGCGAGCGAACGGGGAGGAGCCCAGAGCCUGAAUCAGUGUGUGUGUUAGUGGAAGCGUCUGGAAAGGCGUGC